UUCUCGUGAGUAGCGGAUUCAGCUCUCUUCGUCGACGAACAAGCAUUCCGCACUCCGUGGGACACCGUCCACCGUUAUCAGCCCUGCGUGGUUGAUCUCGGGCAAGCAGCGAAGAACGUUAGAACCCUAGGGCUUUUUCUACUCCCAAAAUCCGGAGAAAACAAUGGAUGAGGGAAAGCGUAAAUCUAGGAAGGAAGAUUAUGAAGGGAAGGAAGAGGAUUCCAAAAGGAGUCGCCGUGAACGAGAUCGUGAGAAGACUGGUGAUAAAGUUAAGGAUAGAAGUGAAGGGAGGCAUAGGGAUAGAGAGAAGAGAGAUCGUGAGAGCCGACGCUAUGAGAGAGAGAAAAGCAGUGAUUCUGAUGAAAGAUUUGAUAGAGAAAGAGAGAAGCAUAGAGACAAGGAUAAGGAUAGGACACGAGUUCAUGAUGAAGAAAGAGAAAGAGCUCGAGACAAGAAAAGGGAAAGAGACAAGGAAGAAAGGGAAAGGGAGAGGAGAGAUAGGAGGGAGAAGGAAAGAGAGAAAGAAAGGGAGAAGGAUAGAGAAAGGGAACGGGAUCGAAGAGAGCGUGAAAGGGAGAGGGAAGUGGAAAGAGAAAGGGGGAGGAGAGUAAAAGAGAGGGAGAAGCGUAAGGAAGUUGAUAGUGAGUGUAGUGAUGAUGAUUCAAGGGAUAAAGAAAGAAAGCGGCACAAGAAAGAUGAUGAUGAUUACAAGGGUAGAGAGCAGGAGAAGAGUGGUAGCAAGUCAAGUAGGCAAACUGAGAACAUUGAGGAGGGCCCAAGGAAAAAGAGUGGAAAUGAUAACUCAGAUGCUAAUGAAAGCAAACCAAGUCGUGAGGAGGAGUUAGAGGAUGAACAUAGGAGGUUGGAUGAAGAGAUGGAAAAGAGGAGAAGGAGAGUUCAGGAAUGGCAGGAGUUGAGAAGGAAGAGGGAGGAAGCUGAGAGAGAAAAGCGUGGUGAAGCAAGUGCUGAUGAACCCAAGUUUGGAAAGGCCUGGACACUUGAAGGGGAAUCUGAUGAUGAAGAAGGAACCACUACAGGGAAGCCAAAUACAUCUAUGGACGUAGAUGAAGAUGACAAACCUUCGGAUAAAGAACCUAAGGAUUCGAUGGCAGUAGAUGUUAGUAAUGGACCUGUUACUUCUAAUUUACAUGAUGAGACUGAUGGUUCUCAUGCAGAUGAGGAGAUUGAUCCAUUGGAUGCUUUCAUGAGUUCUAUGGUUUUGCCUGAAGUUGAGAAGCUGAGUAGUUCUGUGGCUCCCGAAUCUUCUAAUCAAACUUCUGACUCAAAGCCCAAAGGUAACAAGGAUGAGCAAAGUAAUGGUAGGAACCCUAGGAAAGGGUCAAAUAAAUCAAUUGGGAGAAUAAUUCCUGGUGAAGAGUCUGACUUAGAUUAUGAAGACCUUGAAAUUGAGGAUGAUCCAUUAGAUGAAGAUGAUGAUGAAUUCAUGAAAAGAGUAAAGAAAACCAAAGCUGAGAAACUUUCUAUUGUUGACCACUCAAAGAUUGAUUAUAAGCCAUUCAAGAAAAAUUUUUAUAUUGAAGUAAAGGAGAUUGCCAAGAUGACUCCUGAAGAAGUUGCAGCAUAUAGGAAGGAGUUGGAGUUGAAGAUACAUGGAAAGGAUGUACCAAAGCCUGUAAAAUCAUGGAAUCAGAUUGGACUUACUAGCAAAAUUUUGGAGACAAUAAAGAAGCUUAAUUAUGAAAAGCCAAUGACUAUUCAAGCUCAAGCACUCCCUGUAAUUAUGAGCGGUAGAGAUUGCAUUGGAAUUGCUAAAACUGGGUCAGGUAAAACCCUUGCUUUUGUUCUGCCAAUGUUGAGGCACAUCAAGGAUCAGCCACCAGUUGUUGCAGGAGAUGGACCAAUUGGCCUUAUUAUGGCCCCUACAAGGGAACUAGUUCAACAGAUUCACAGUGAUAUAAAAAAAUUUGCAAAAGUACUUGGUCUCAGGUGUGUGCCUGUCUAUGGAGGUUCUGGUGUUGCCCAGCAAAUCAGUGAAUUGAAACGUGGUACUGAGAUAGUGGUUUGUACUCCAGGUAGGAUGAUUGACAUACUAUGCACUAGUGGUGGAAAAAUAACUAACCUGCGUAGAGUCACUUAUCUGGUCAUGGAUGAGGCUGAUCGUAUGUUUGACAUGGGCUUCGAACCUCAAAUCACCCGAAUUGUUCAGAAUAUUCGACCAGAUCGACAAACAGUUCUCUUUUCUGCUACAUUUCCUCGUCAGGUUGAAAUUCUGGCUCGUAAGGUUUUGAACAAACCUGUUGAAAUACAAGUUGGUGGAAGGAGUGUCGUCAACAAGGACAUAACACAGCUAGUAGAGGUGAGGCCAGAAAAUGAUAGGUUCUUUAGGCUCUUAGAAUUACUUGGGGAAUGGUAUGAGAAGGGAAAGAUUUUGAUAUUUGUCCACUCACAGGAGAAAUGCGAUGCUUUGUUCAAGGAUUUGCUUAGACAUGGUUAUCCAUGCCUUUCUCUUCAUGGGGCCAAGGAUCAGACAGAUCGUGAAUCCACAAUUUCUGACUUCAAAAGCAAUGUCUGCAAUUUGCUGAUUGCAACAAGUAUUGCAGCCAGGGGUUUAGAUGUCAAGGAGCUUGAAUUGGUCAUCAAUUUUGAUGUUCCAAACCACUAUGAAGAUUAUGUGCAUCGUGUUGGACGUACAGGCCGAGCUGGUCGGAAGGGUUGUGCUAUAACAUUUAUCUCAGAGGAAGAAGCAAGAUAUGCACCAGAUCUGGUUAAAGCUUUGGAGCUAUCUGAACAAAUAGUUCCUGAUGACCUGAAAGCUCUUGCUGAUGGAUUUAUGGCAAAAGUUAAUCAAGGACUUGAGCAAGCCCAUGGGACUGGCUAUGGAGGCAGUGGCUUUAAAUUUAAUGAAGAAGAAGAUGAGGUAAGGAGAGCAGCAAAGAAAGCACAAGCCAAAGAAUAUGGGUUUGAAGAAGAUAAGUCUGAUUCUGAGGAUGAAGAUGAAGGUAUUAGGAAGGCAGGAGGUGACAUCUCACAGCAUCCUGCUCUUGCCCAGAUUCUAGUUGCUGCCACCAAAGCAAACACUCCUGCAAUGCCCUCUACUUCCCAGGUAGUUUCAAAUGGAGGACUGCCUGUUUCUUUGCCUGCUGUUCUUGGUCUCCAGACUGCAGGAGUCAUGCCUGGGACAGGGCUGCCCAUUGUUCCAAGUGAUGGAGCAACUCGGGCAGCAUUAGCUGCUAUGAACCUGCAAAAUAAAUUAGCAAAGAUUGCUGGUGCUAUGCCUGAGCAUUAUGAAGCUGAGUUGGAGAUAAAUGACUUCCCCCAAAAUGCUCGGUGGAAAGUCACACACAAGGAAACUCUGGGCCCAAUUUCUGAGUGGACUGGAGCUGCUAUUACCACCAGGGGGCAGUAUUUCCCACCUGGCAAGAUCCCUGGACCUGGUGAACGGAAACUCUACUUGUUCAUUGAGGGCCCCAGUGAACAGUCUGUUAAGAGAGCAAAAGCAGAAUUGAAGCGUGUGCUGGAAGAUAUAACAAAUCAGGCUUUGCAGCUUCCUGGUGGUGCUCAACCAGGCAAAUACUCUGUUGUAUAAUAGGGGAUCUUUUUAGCCUUUUUUGCAUGUUCAAUAUACUCCCUCCAUUACACUUGCCACUAGAUUUUCCAAGAGGUGGUGGUGGUGAUCAUGGUGCAGCAUUUUUGCAUUGGAGUCCAGUUUAGUAGGCCAAUACUCUGUUGUAUUAUAGUUCAGGGGAUCUUGUAAUCCUUUAUUGCAUGGUCAUUGGACUUCCUGGAUUACACUUGCUUGUUGAUGUUCCAAGAGGUGGUGAUGAUCAUGGUGAGACAUUUUUACGUCAGUCAAAGUAUAGUUUGGAUGAGACAUCACAGGAAACUUGCAUCUGCUGUGUGUUCUUGUGCAUACAAUGUAAGAUCUAUGAUGGGAAAGAAGGGAGACCAAGACAAAGAUGGCCAGAGGAAUGUUUAAAGAAUAUAUUUUGGUUGUGGUGGCAACCCUAAGAUUGAGAACUCAAUCCAAUAUGAAUUGGGUUCUUGAUUUUUCAUUUGGACUUGUUGGGGAUGUAAUGUGUUUAAAAAGAAAAGUUUGAUCUUGUUAGUCUUGGAAAACCAACAAUUUAUGGAACUUGAAAGUCUUGAAUUUUUAGCA